rnacentral:misc_RNA from 1 species
AAAAAUAAAUCCAAGGUCAAUUUCAGUGUAUCAACACAGCAUAUAAUUGCAGCAGAUUACUACUAACAUAACAGGCUCUUCACCUGGUAUUGAGACAAUCCAAGUCAAGCAAAUCUAUGCUUCUGAUAAAAUUACAUCUCAAAUCCACCGGAAGAUCUUUUGUUUUCCUCAAAUUAUGCUUAGUCAACUGACUUUUGGGCUCGAGUUCUGAGCCUU